GGUCUUGCUGCACGCUACUGCAAGGACCAGAGCGAGGAGAAGCUGGAUGAAAUCCUCAGCGCCCUCCAGCCUUUAUGUAACGACCCGAAUCCCACGGUCCGUUACACGACAGUUCAAACCACCAAGAUCCUGACGUCAAGGCGUUACAGAAUGUCAGAACUGCUAUCUCGACUGCUGUGCUGCUGUUAGCCCCGCAGCAGUCCCCAAAACCCUUUUGUAAAUAUUACUAUAAAUCUUUAAAUAUUACCCAUUUUAUAAGUAUGACUAAA